AAUAAUGUUUCUUCAAAUAAUUGAUAACAAUAAAUAAUAAAUGAGAACAAUAAUUAACAAUAAAUUAAAUUUUAUUCAAUUCCGAAGAAGGUGCAGGGAGGAUGUAGAAUGGUCUGUUGGAAUAAGAACUAUUUCCCUUCAGUGUAUAAAUUAAUUUAGUCCUAAAAUUCUUAGUGUUUUAUGUUUGAAAAAUAAGAUUUUUUGGGGUGGUCUGUUCCUGUUAUAUAAGACCACAUCAUAUAAGUAUUGUGAGCCUGUCUGAAUCUACGAUAAGCCUGGAAGAAAGGCCCUAAGGAUGGAAAAUUAAGAAAUAAAAAGAAAGAAGAAAGUUUGCAUCCCCAUUUCAAAAGAAUCUUGUAAUACCUGUUGCAUAAAUCGUUUCUCUCAUUAAAAAAGCAUAAUUCGAAA